rnacentral:rRNA from 1 species
GAUGAACGCUGGCGGCGUGCCUAAUACAUGCAAGUCGAGCGAACGGACGAGAAGCUUGCUUCUCUGCUGUUAGCGGCGGACGGGUGAGUAACACGUGGAUAACCUACCUAUAAGACUUGGAUAACUUCGGGAAACCGGAGCUAACACUGGAUAAUAUUUUGAACCGCAUGGUUCAAAAGUGAAAGACGGUCUUGCUGUCACUUAUAGAUGGAUCCGCGCUGCAUUAGCUAGUUGGUAAGGUAACGGCUUACCAAGGCCACAAUGCAUAGCCGACCUGAGAGGGUGAUCGCCCACACUAGAACGGAGACGCGGUCCAGACUCCUACGGGAGGCACCAGUAGAGAAUCUUCCGCAAUGGGCGAAAACCUGACGGAGCAACGCCGCGUGAGUGAUGAAGAUCUUCGGAUCGUAAAACUCUGUUAUUAGGGAAGAACAUAUGUGUAAGUAACUGUGCACAUCUUGACGGUACCUAAUCAGAAAGCCACGGCUAACUACGUG